rnacentral:lncRNA from 1 species
GAUAAAAACAGAUGAGACCCACGUUGGCAAAACCACCAACGGUGGAAUCUGAUGAAAUUGAAAGAGGCUUUACCAAAAUGGGAUUGGAGGAGAAGUGCCCAUCAGGGACAGUACCAAUUCGAAGAACAACAAAAGAAGAACUGUUGGCAGCCAAAUCUAGUUUUACCCAUUUCUUUCAACCAUCCAGAAAUCAUUAUGGUUUCGCAGUAAGUUAAUUUAUUGUAUUGAAAUUUUUGUUUUUCUUUCCUAAGAUUAAUGUAAAAUCAUGGGUGUACAGACAGCAGGAGUUUCAACUAUUCGAAAGGACAAUACAACUUACCAGGGGAUUUCAGGUUUGAUUAACAUAUAUAACCCAGUUAAUAUGGUGGCUGGACAAUACAGUGCAAGUGAGAUAACGCUUCUAAGCACUUCUGGGGGAAACUUGAGUGGUAUUA